UACGGAGGGUGCAAGCGUUAUCCGGAUUCACUGGGUUUAAAGGGUGCGUAGGUGGGAAUGUAAGUCAGUGGUGAAAUCUCCGUGCUUAACAUGGAAACUGCCAUUGAUACUAUGUUUCUUGAAUUUUCUGGAGGUCAGCGGAAUAUGUCAUGUAGCGGUGAAAUGCUUAGAUAUGACAUAGAACACCAAUUGCGAAGGCAGCUGGCUACACGAAUAUUGACACUGAUGCACGAAAGCGUGGGGAUCAAACAGG
rnacentral:rRNA from 1 species